rnacentral:tRNA from 1 species
UAGCUCAGUUGGAAAGAAUCUGCCUGAAAGGCAGGAGACCCAGGUUCGAUUCCUGG